rnacentral:rRNA from 1 species
UACGUAGGUGGCAAGCGUUGUCCGGAUUUACUGGGCGUAAAGCGCCCGCAGGCGGCUUGUUAAGUUCAAGGUGAAAUCUCCCGGCUUAACUGGGAGGGUGCCUCGAAAACUGGCAGGCUUGAGGUGAGGAGAGGGAUGCGGAAUUCCAGGUGUAGCGGUGAAAUGCGUAGAUAUCGGAAGGAACACCAGUGGCGAAAGCGGCUCCCUGGUCCAGCACCGACGUCAGGCACGAAAGCGUGGGGAGCAAACAGGG